CGGGACGGGAGUGGGCCCUACGCGCAGGCAACAGCAGCACCGGCUCUACGAAGUCAGAAUCGAAUCUUUGUGUUGGCUUUCCCAAUUCGUGAAUCAGAAUUCAAGGGCUAGAAGCGAGCGCUUCUAGCUGCUUCGCCUGCUUCUUAUUAUUGUGGCUAUGUUGGCGUGGCGGAAAUGAACGAAAAGCGAGAUGAACGUGCUAUUUUCAAAUCGAUUGAUAGAUAGCCUGAUCCGUUCUGAUAGAUAGAUCGAAAGAGUAGGAAUGAUAUAGGGGGAAUCCAUAAAAAAAGAAAAAGGGGAAAUCUCCUAUUUAUAUCUAUUGAUAAGACAACUAUUCUUGAUCCAUCAGAACGAAAUCGAUAUGUAUCUGAUGGAGUCUACAUCGUACGUAGAGCGCCCAAGCUUUAGGCCAGCUCAGUUAUCUUAUCCAUCGGGUCCAAUGCACUGGGCUCAUAUCAUGGAUGGAGGGAACAAAAUGUAGUUAGUUGUGUUGUUGUUGUUCGCCGCCUCGACGCAUUCCCUUCUCUCCCCGGCAUCGUCCCACACAGAAAGAAAGAGCGCAGAGCCCCGGCCCGACCUUUAGUGUAGGUCCGCCAACGUAAAGCGAGGAGUUGAGCCUGAACUGGCGAACCGAAGUCACUUUCGGAACCAUACUUCCUACAGCUAACACGUGUCCAGUCCAGCGGGAACGCGCAGCGCAAAAUAACGUAAGCUGCUCGAAUCCCCCGCUGGCCAUCGGGGACCGAGUGGUAAGGCCAUGAUCCGCAGGGGAACGGAUCACUCAUUCUUCCAUUGGGGACAGGUGCACGAACGACAACUCCAAACGUCACACAUCCGUCGCCUACUUACCGUUUAGGUGGCACCAGCGAGAUCCAGCUAAGGUAAGGAACUUCGUGUCGCGGCUGCUCCACUCCGCCGCGGUCUCAUGAACUUAACUUCGUUGCCUUCCCGCGCGCGAAGCGAAUGGGCGCUGUGCUGUGGGUCAGUUUCGGGGCAUUCAUUUUGAUCGACGAGCUUUUUCAGCCCCAAAACUAAGAAUCAAUGGAAUGUCUGUCUAUCCAUGAACAUCUAUUCUAUCUGUAUAUCUAGGGGAUCUCUCUAAAAAUAUAAAAGAGUUUUAUGGCACGAUAUGAUCGCCUAGCCGUAGCCGCAUAUUGAGCGCAGCGGAUAUGCGGGAUUUCAGUUGGAUCAGAUCUUUCGCUUUGACGGAAGCUUUUGGACCUAGCGAAAAGGACUUUAUUUUAUAAGCCUUCGCGCAAGCAACGCGAGAGAAGCAAGCAAAGUAGAAGCUUUGCCAGAAGCAAGACGAGGAAGCAGAGCUGUCGUAUAAGCGGUAGCUUCCCCCGACCUACUAAACAAAAAGACAACAGUCGCGACCUACUUUGUUUGAUUCAAAACAAAAGAAAGGCGAAGGGUUUGGCAACAAGCAAACGGCUUUCUAUCAUAGUCUUUAGGGUUCCAAACCUUAACUACUUAACUUAAGUACGGCAGCUUUCGGUUGGUAAAUAAGGGGGCUGUUCACUACAAGCUAUCAGCGCUGUCUUAGAUUGAACGUCGACUUAUCUUUAUCUUAUUGCCGUUCAAUCUCUAAGGCGGGUUGACGCUGAGAACGGAAGAGUGUUCGUGUCCAAAGGUGAACAACGCCCUAGCUUCUAGAGUUCGCUGCUUUUCCCAGGCCGGAGAAGGGCUUAUACUGCUCGCCUUUGUUUGAUAUGUUCAUUCAGUACCAAUACAAAGAAAAACUACACCAAAGUGGAAAGGCCCCUAUAGAAGCUAGAAGUAACCUCUAGUAGUCUAGUAGUCGGCCUAACCAAAACGUCACGACAACAGAAAAUUACCCUUAUGAAUUAAAUCUUAAGUAGGGGGCUUAGCCCGCCCGCCUACCAAUCAAAGAGGCUGAGAGUUAGCGUAAGCUCGAAGAGCUUACCUUCAUUCGCUUCGCGGGAGCCGCACAAGACAUAGCUGGAAGUCAGAGGGCCCAUACUACCUGCCUAACCCCUCGCUCCGAGGGACCUUCGAUCGGACGUUAUAAACCACCCCAUUCAUCUAAAAGAGAGGGGAAGGGGCCUAUGUAUUUGCAUGACUCCUGCGGAUUUUACCCUAUCUACACCCGGAGCCAAUCUCCUAUCGGUCCUGCCACCACGCCGCAGAACGGGAGCUCGUGUGGAACCUUUUAUUUCUGGCGUAACAGCGGUGGAACGUAAAAAAAGAUUACGGUCGCGUAACAUAAGGGCCGGAGGUACGGUAAACUCGGCAAAAAGAUGACACCCGAAGGGAGGGCCCGGCGCGCACAAUCCUAUCCUCGUCCGAGUUUACCCCUUGCACUUCGGACAGCCGUCCGUAGCAUCAUAAGGAGGACCUCCCUUUCGGGGUAAAGUAAAAAAAGGGUACGGUACAUAGGAGGCUGGUCUUUCUCAACGUGGUGUAUAGCACGAAAAACCUUUCGAUAAAAGAUAGGGCCGUUCACAUGAAAGAAGAUAAUCAACCCUUUCUUCUCUUCUUUCUCUUUCUCGAGGGGUAAAGAGAAAGAGGGUCUUUUGGAGGGAGGGGGAACAUUCGGGCGCUUUUUUUUAAAUCCUCCACUGCAUCCAGGAUCACAAGUGGAACGCUAAGCAGGGGGGAGGGGAAUUGGGCUGGGCCUACCUAUCCCGAUAGGACCUCAUAAAGGAACGGGAGCUGUUGAGAGGUUCCAUAUUGCCGAGCCGAAGGGCAGCACUUCUGUACGUGAUCGUCUCACGUCGUCUCGUCCCCGCUGCAUUGAAAAGUACCUAUGCACUCUUUCCGGUUCACUGAUAAGGAAGAUAGAGUUGGGGUGGGGGUCUACGAUGUGAUACUCAAGUAUGACCCGGGAAGAUACAUGCUAACUAUGGGUAGGGGUAGAAAGCUUUUACCUUUUUGUAAAUAAAUUAGGGGGGUUACAGAUCAGAUCUCUUAUACUACCAUCGAUCGACAGAGCGGAACGACCAGAAAAAAAAAAGUGAAGUUAGAAAGCCGUAUGAUAGGCGGUCACUAUCUUGUACGGUUCGGGGGGUAAUCGGCGUACUCCGAUCAGUGGGGGGGAAUCUUUGGCUCUAUCGAACAUACAGGG